AUACGGAGGAUCCUAGCGUUAUCCGGAUUUAUUAGGUUUAAAGGGUGCGCAGGCGGAACUGUAAGUCACCGGUGAAAUCCUACAGCUUAACUGUAGAACUGCCGGUGAUACUGCGAUUCUUGAGUAUAGUUGAGGUAGGCGGAAUGUGUAGUGUAGCGGUGAAAUGCAUAGAUAUUACACAGAACACCGAUUGCGAAGGCAGCUUACUAAACUAUUACUGACGCUCAUGCACGAAAGCGUGGGGAGCGAACAGGAUUAGAAACCCUAGUAGUCC
rnacentral:rRNA from 1 species